rnacentral:rRNA from 1 species
UAAGGAAUAUUGGUCAAUGGGCGCAAGCCUGAACCAGCCAUGCCGCGUGCAGGAAGACGGCCCUAUGGGUUGUAAACUGCUCUUGUCAGGGAAUAAACCCCCGCUCGUGAGCGGGGCUGAAGGUACCUGAAGAAUAAGCAUCGGCUAACUCCGUGCCAGCAGCCGCGGUAAUACGGAGGAUGCAAGCGUUAUCCGGAUUCAUUGGGUUUAAAGGGUGCGCAGGCGGAUUGGUAAGUCAGGGGUGAAAUCCCACAGCUCAACUGUGGAACUGCCUGUGAUACUGUCAGUCUAGGGUAUAGUGGAAGUGGGCGGAAUGUGUGAUGUAGCGGUGAAAGGCUUAGAUAUGAGACAGAACACCGAUCGCGAAGGCAGCUCGCUAAG